rnacentral:lncRNA from 1 species
CCAAUGUGCAUUAUGAACACGUUUUGAAUAACAAACAUUUAAAAAAUAAAGUAGAAAAAGGUGAACAAUCUAAAAAAAACACAUGCGAUAUCGAAUUGUGUGAAAAUAAUAAUAAAGUAAAGUUUAACCAUGAAUCUCAUGCUGUAAAAAAUAACAUACUUAAGAUAAAUAGUAAUAAACCUAAAAAUAAUAUUUGUAGUAACCAAAGUAAUACAAGCGUAAAAUCAAUAAUGAGUAGUAGUAUAAUAUUUAGUAAUUCUUUAAAUUAUAAUGGAAAUGAUUAUUUAACAUUUAAUGAUGAUGUGUUUAUAUUUAUAGAUGAUUACUCAAAAAAGGAUUCAAAUAAGUAUAAAAAAAAUGAACAUAAUUAUAAUGACAUAACACUAGAAAACAUGAAUUGUUUAAAAUAUGAUGAUAGCACACCAAUAAAAUAUAAUAAUAUAGAUGAUAUGAUAAUACACAUAAAAAAAUACAUUCAAAAUAAUAAUUCAUAUUUCGCUUGUAAACAUAUAGAAAUUAAUAAUUUAUGUAACUUAAAUAACAAAAACAAUAAAUAUGACAACUUAAAUAUUUACAUGUAUGAUAAUAACACAUCCGAUUUUUCUAUGGGUGACUGUCUAAUAACCCCUAAUAAGGAAGAAAAUGACUUAUGUAGUUCAUCCAAUUUAACAAACAUAAAUUUCAUUAAUAGUAAUGAUAAAAAACAAAAAAAUAAUGAAGCGAGUGAAAGCAAUAAACAAAAUUGUGAAAGUAGUACUCGAAAAAAUAAAAUGCAUAUUGAAACGGACAACGAUGAAACAUCGAACUAUGAUAUUGUUAUAUAUCACGACGAAAAGAAUAAUUAUUGUGAAAAUGAAAUAAGUGAAGAUUAUAAUAAGGAUUUUUCAAAAAAACAGAAGCUUAUAAAAACCAAGAAAUCCACAGAGCCAUUAAAUAAAAAAAAACAAAUACUAACGUUAAUUGAUGAAUUGAAAGAAAAAUUAGCAAAGAGAGGAGAUUAUUAUUAUGAAAGUGAUGAAAAUAAAAAAAACAAAACAGCUGAUGAUGUAUUUAGACCUAAGCAAAAAAAAAAUAUAAUUACUAGAGGCCAUAAUGAAUACUCAACAAAUGAUAAUACUAAUAACAAUAAUUAUUCUGAAGAAAUAAUAGUAAAAAAAGAAGUUCAUAUAAAAAAUAAAAUGCUAAAUAGCCAUGGAAAAAAAAAUCUAAAUAAAAAAAAAAAAAAAACUAAUAAUGCCAACAGUAAUGAAUUUGAAAGAAAACAUACAAGUGUAAAUUUACACUUAGUUGCCCCCGAGGCAAGCUUACAAAAAACAAAAGCAUUUAGACGUAAAGAAAAAAAAUGUUACGAUAGUUACAAAGAAAAAAAUGCCUCUAACGAAAAAUAUAGUAAUUUAAAAGAAAAAGCUAACAUUUGUGUGAAUGGAAAUAAUCAAAGUAACAUAAAUAAACGUAAUUUAAAAAACGAAGUUAUAGAAUUUAAGGACAAUGAUAAUUUAAAAAAUUAUAAUGUACAAAUAAAAACUUUUAACAUCGAUGAAAAUGAAAAAAAUAGAAAUUUAAAGUUGUUAGAACUAAUUAAAAAUGAUAAAUUUACGGUAGAGAAUAUUAAAAAUGAAACUAAUAUAAAAUGUAUUUUUAAUAGAGAAAAUAGUGAUAAAAUAUUUGAAAAAAAAAAAAGUUCAGGUCUUGUUCAUAAUGACAUAUUGAGAAUAAAUAAUUUGGGUCAGUUAGAAAACGAAAAUAAAGAAAAAAAUGAGCACAUAAUUGAGGAUGAUAAUAAUAAUAAUAAUAGUAAUUCAUUUAAUUUGGAAAAUGUUCAUAAGAAAAGCACAAAUAUACUCAACAUUAAUAAUUACAGCUCAGCUAAAACUUCAUGUAAAACGGAAAGUGAAAAAGGUAACAAAAUCCAUAAAAAACAAAUGACGGUUAGUGAUGACAAUAUUAAUGAAAUUAAUGAUACCACCAUAUAUAAUAGAAUUACUAAUAUUAAUGGUAGUACUGUUGCAAGAAGUUAUAAAUAUAAUUCUUUAUUUAAAAGUUGUAAGCUAGGAUUAAAAGAUUGUGGGUAUACUCAAAUAAAAAACAAAUUUAAAGAAACGAGCUAUAACGGAAUUAAUGAAAAUGAUUACUACACAAAUGAAAGUAAUUAUAUGCUUAAAUCUAAGAACAAAGAAAGUAAGUCGUUAAACACUUGUGAUGAUGGAGUAUUAACAUGUCCUGGUGAUAAAAUAAAAUUAGGAAUUGGUUUAGAUAAAGAUAAUUUAAUUAGAAGAAACAAAAGUAAUGCUCAUAAAUUAAAAAACAUAAUACACAUUCAUAAGAACAAGGGAGCUAGCAAUGAAUCACAUAUCAACUGUGGCGAUCAAAAAGGAACCGACCAUACUAGGUACAUCAAACACUUAACUAAUAAAAUGUCCCCAAAUAGUGAAAUUUCAAUUUGCGUUAAAACAGAAGAGAAAAAAGAAGACAAAAACGAAGAAACAAAUAGAAUUGGGUGCAGAAAAGAAAAGUUAAGUAAAGAAGUGAAAAAAAAGUUAAUCAGUAUUUUAAAUGCAUCUACUAAUCCUAAUAAAAUAAAUAUACACAAUAAAAUAUACACGUCUGAUACAAAAAAUAACUAUUCGGAUAAUAAUAAGAUAAUAUAUUUUAAUAAUAAUUAUUACUUUAAUGUUGACAAAGAUAACUCUUUUGCUAAAUGUGAUAAAAAUGUUACACAUAAUUUAAUGAAUAAUAUUACUGGAGAGCUUAAUUUAUAUUUAAAUACAAAUAAAAAGGAUUUGUCCUGUUUUAAAUAUACGAACUCUGUUUUAUCAAACAAUUGUAAUUUGUCUAAAGAAAGUGUUAUUAGUCGUGAUUUAGAACUUACGCAUUUGGAUGAGAGAAUUGAUAAGUUAAAUGAAUUAAAACAUAAGUACACAUUAAAAAAAUAUGUAAAUGACACUUUGUAUAAAAACAAAAUGCAUACAAUUAGUGAUGAAAUUAGAAAUAUAUCAAAUAUUAACUUACUUGAACUGAAUUAUAAAAAUAAGAAUAGUAUAUAUGAAAAUAAAAAUUCAAAAAGUGAGAAUAAAAUUAAAAUAACAGAAUAUUGUAGACAUGAUUUAUACAAAAACAAAGGGAUAAAUAGAAAAUUAAAAAGUGUUGAUGAAAAUAAUAUAUUAUGCCAUGCACCCAAAUCACCUAAAAAACAGGAAAAAAUACCUAAACCAUUAGCUAGUCAAUUAGAAGUUAAUUCACUGUCAUAUUUAAAAAAAACACCAUCCUAUCCAUUUGAGGAAUUAUAUUUGUAAAUAUUUUUUCUACUUAUUAAGUAAAGGUUAAUAGAAAAAAAUUAUAACUAUUUAAAUUUUUUUGUUAAUGUUCUUUUUUUUUUUUUUUUUUCUGAUUUUUUGUCUCACAAAAUUGUGAUUUUGUACAUAUUUUUUUAGUUUAUCUAGUCUUUUAAAAAAUUAUACUUAAAAUAAAACAAUAAUUAAAAAUAUUCA